rnacentral:misc_RNA from 1 species
GCAAGUAAAAGUCGUAACAAGGUUUCCGUAGGUGAACCUGCGGAAGGAUCAUUAUUGUAUAACCGAGGUGCGAGGGCUGUCGCUGACCCGAAAGGUCGUGCACGCCCGAGUGCCCUCACACACAUCCAUCUCACCCCUAUGUGCACCACCGCGUGGGUCCCCCUUUGGCUUGUUCGGAGGGGGGCUUACGUUUUCACACAAACUUUGUAUGCAGUGUAGAAUGUAUUUUUUGUUUUUGCGAUCACGCAAUCAAUACAACUUUCAACAACGGAUCUCUUGGCUCUC